rnacentral:siRNA from 1 species
AAAGGGGGUGAAUGAAUGGAUC